UACGUAGGUGGCAAGCGUUAUCCGGAUUUACUGGGUGUAAAGGGCGUGUAGGCGGGAGUGCAAGUCAGAUGUGAAAACCACGGGCUCAACCUGUGGCCUGCAUUUGAAACUGUACUUCUUGAGUACUGGAGAGGCAGACGGAAUUCCUAGUGUAGCGGUGAAAUACGUAGAUAUUAGGAGGAACACCAGUGGCGAAGGCGGUCUGCUGGACAGCAACUGACGCUGAGGCGCGAAAGCGUGGGGAGCAAACAGG
rnacentral:rRNA from 1 species